rnacentral:rRNA from 1 species
GAUGAACGCUGGCGGCGUGCUUAACACAUGCAAGUCGAACGAAACACCUUAUUUGAUUUUCUUCGGAACUGAAGAUUUGGUGAUUGAGUGGCGGACGGGUGAGUAACGCGUGGGUAACCUGCCCUGUACAGGGGGAUAACAGUCAGAAAUGACUGCUAAUACCGCAUAAGACCACAGCACCGCAUGGUGCAGGGGUAAAAACUCCGGUGGUACAGGAUGGACCCGCGUCUGAUUAGCUGGUUGGUGAGGUAACGGCUCACCAAGGCGACGAUCAGUAGCCGGCUUGAGAGAGUGAACGGCCACAGUGGGACUGAGACACGGCCCAAACUCCUACGGGAGGCAGCAGUGGGGAAUAUUGCACAAUGGGGGAAACCCUGAUGCAGCGACGCCGCGUGAGUGAAGAAGUAUUUCGGUAUGUAAAGCUCUAUCAGCAGGGAAGAAAAUGACGGUACCUGACUAAGAAGCCCCGGCUAACUACGUG